UACGUAGGGCGCAAGCGUUAUCCGGAAUUAUUGGGCGUAAAGAGCUCGUAGGCGGUUUGUCGCGUCUGCUGUGAAAGACCGGGGCUCAACUCCGGUUCUGCAGUGGGUACGGGCAGACUAGAGUGCAGUAGGGGAGACUGGAAUUCCUGGUGUAGCGGUGAAAUGCGCCAGAUAUCAGGAGGAACACCGAUGGCGAAGGCAGGUCUCCUGGGCUGUAACUGACGCUGAGGAGCGAAAGCAUGGGGAGC
rnacentral:rRNA from 1 species